rnacentral:rRNA from 1 species
CCUACGGGAGGCAGCAGUGAGGACUAUUGGUCAAUGGACGCAAGUCUGAACCAGCCAUGCCGCGUGCAGGAAGACGGCUCUAUGAGUUGUAAACUGCUUUUGUACGAGGGUAAACGCAGAUACGCGUAUCUGUCUGAAAGUAUAGUACGAAUAAGGAUCGGCUAACUCCGUUACAGCAGCCGCGGUAAUACGGAGGAUUCAAGCGUUAGCCGGAUUUAUUGGGGUUAAGGGGUGCGUAGGCGGUCGGAUAAGUUUGAGGUGAAAUCCCGAGGCUCAACUUCGGAAUUGCCUUUGAUACUGUGCGGCUAGAGAGUAGUUGCGGUAGGCGGAAUGUAUGGUGUAGCGGUGAAAUGCUUAGAGAUCAUACAGAACACCGAUUGCGAAGGCAGCUUACCAAGCUACUUCUGACGUUGAGGCACGAAAGCGUGGGGAGCAAACAGGAUUAGAUACCCUAGUAGUC